GCCGUCUCUUCUCACCGAUUCGUCAGCUGAUGAUGGUGGUGUUUAGGGUUGGAGAAACGACGAUGGUGGUGAGCAGUGGCUGCUCCCAUGCCACAAUCAGGGGCCUAAAAGUCGUCUGCAGCAGAUGCCGCUGACAUGGAUCUAACGGUGCUAUAUGCAUUUGUCUACCUCCCGAAAGCCUUCAAGCAACUACCGUUUAAACAACUCCCAGAGUAUCAUAAUUGUGGUUUCUUUUUAAAUUAAGUUUUCCAACCCAUCAAGUUCACGGGUUCAGUAAUGAUGCAAGUUAUGUUAUCUCGGGUAGUGAUGAUAGUAUGAUACCAAUCUUCGGACUUUGGAUGGCUAAAGCAUCCGAGCAACUGGGUGUUACUCUACCACGAGUAUAUGGAGGCUGUGAAGAAUCGCUACAAGCACCUUCAUGAGGUCAAACGUAAAUUCAGGUACAUUUUUUGACUGGUGGUAAGCUUAACAAUGAGUUUUAUAUGGAUGCGCAAGGACAAGAACAAACCGCUUAGGUGGAAUACAUCGAGAGAAAACACAAUGACCAGAGCCAAAAAGGCAACAUCACUUAUAGCUUAUAGCUGACAUGAUUCAUGUGUCUUCCCAAUAGAAAUCAACCUGCAUUUUGAUUGAAGUUAGGGACCAACAAAAUAAUUGGUGAUCUGCUAUGGUUAAUUACUUUGCAGAGUCAUGAUGUGUUGUCAUAUGAAGCUAAGAGAAAAUUCAUAGCUGAUAUGGGUCGACUUUCAACAAUUCAAGAAUCGAGCACCGCGAUACGAAUCAAAUAUGAAGUUAUAUUACAUAACAGGGAGUAAGUAUGAUGAAGUUGUUAUUUCAACCUAUUUACUCAAAUGGGUCGAUUUUAAAUUUGUUUUUAAAGGUGUGUAGGGAUGUUUACGGUUCGAUUUAAAACAGUUAAACCAGUCGUCGAUCCAGUUUCAUGGUUGGUUUUAUUUUUAGUUUUCGGUCGGUCGGUUUCAAACCAUAUUGAACGGUUUGGUUUGCGGUUUACACCGGAAACAGACCGUAUAAAACCGGACAAGACCAUUAGAUAUAGAUAUACUAUUAUUUUAAAAAUAUUUCAUACAUAUGGAGAUGUAAUACGAAAUCAAACCAUAUUGAGACAAAGACAGUAAAAUACUAAGUGCCUAAUUUUUAAAUGUGUCAUUUGGGUUUGUCAUGGAUCAGUAAAAUGAUUUAAAAUUCGAAUCGGCUAAAUCGAUGAAAAUCAAAAACACCGGCCCCUAAUAUUUAUCAAUUGUUGUAUCAGUAUAUCCUAAUCUUUCCUAAAUGUUUGUUUCCCCUGUAACUGAUCUUUGAUUUAUUGGCUUCUAGCAUGUGUAUGUUUGUUGAAGACACUUAAAAGUGUUACCAUAUUCGUCACAAGAGAUCUAUCCGCUGACCUAGGAGGUGGCCAAGGAUGUAUUUACUCUAUAAAUUCUAUCGUUCUAACAAAAAUGAUGAUGAAUGUUAAAUGUGAAACCAAACCGGUUGUAUAUUUAUUAUGGAGACUUACAUUGAUCCUGAUUUUCGACAUAAACCGUCAUACUAGAUCGGAACCAAACUGUAAGUAUUGGUGGUUUUCCCUUUCAAUGGUUCGGUUUCGGGUUUUGUUGAUAAAAAAACCAUUAAUAAUAGUUUGGCUUGCGGUUUGACCUAAAACCAUCAAAACCGCACUGUGAACACCCCUAAGGGUGUGCAUGGAGUGGUUUUGGCUCCUUUGGGUAUCUCAAAACCAACCAAAAACCGAAUUCUUUAUUUCGGUUUUUUAAAUUGUCCGGGUGACGGGUUUUGGAGUUGUAUCGAAGGUAAGGGUAUGUGAUUAAAGUUAUUGGUUCUUAGAGUUGUAUCGAAAGGUAUGUGCUUAAAGUUUUGAUCUUUCAUAGUUUUAAUUAAUGUCCAGGUGACGAGUUUUAGAGAUGUAUAGAAGGGCAGGGGUUGACGGGAAGAGAUGAUUUAAGAAUGAAGACGAGGGGAACAUGAAGCUUUGAGUUUGGUUCCUUCAAGGCUUGCUGGAAGUAGAUUUCAACUUUUUAGUGGAAGUCAAUGGCUCAAACUAAUGAAUCAAGUCAACAAAGCAUCCAUAUGCAAAAAUGAGUUUUUCUUACUUUAUAUAGUUGUUGAAUCAACAUAUAUGUGAAAUGUGUGACGAAUGUGUUCAAGUGAGUAUUGGUGUUGUAGAUAAUAAAUCUUAUGUAUUAUGUUGAGUUGUACCAAUGAGUGGGGAUGCAUUCUAACAAUUGAGUUGACUCCAAUAUAUUAAAACAACUUUUGUACUUGCAUUUGUAUUAUGGUGUUAAGCGGUUCAAAUUUACUAUAGGUGAACUUUAAUCAUAUAAUGUGAAUAAACUUUGUUGAUGUUAAUUGUUAAUGUAACAUUAAUUGUUUAGGUAUGCAGUAACUUAUUUGUUUGUUAAUUAUUUCAGACAUUCUCUCUUUCAAUUUGUAAGUCAUGGAUUUGACAUUAUUUCUCCCUAAAAUCACUGUUUUGAUUGAACAGGAACACAUAAUUAGUUUUAUUCAUGUAAAAAGAAAAAUUACAAGAACAAUGCUUAAUAUGUUGGAACAAAAAGAAAGUUGGUGAUACAAUCUUAGAUAAACUCACUCCUUUAUUUCUUUUUUUUAAGUUGUAGGUGGUAGGCUCAGCAAUUGGAGUGCAUUAAAGAAGAAUUUUGAUAAUUGUUCAAUUUGUGCAUUUAGAUACUAAUCCAAAUUUACCUAUUUAAUCUUCAUGUAAAAAUUAUAUUUUUAAUUUACAAGCGUUAAAAAGGAAUUAGCUGAACACAUGCAAUGCUAUUCUUAGUAAGAUACAUCAUCGAUUAAUAUCAUAUUCUUGGUGAUAACAAGAGGUGGGAUGUUACAUUGGUAAAGGCAACACUUUGGUAAAGAAAUUUGUCAUUUAAAAAAAAACAAGAGGGCCCAAGUUCGAAUCUAAUCCAAACGGGUUUAGUCGUAGUGGGCUUUUGGGCGACCUUUUGAUAGUGGGCUUGGGCUACUCAUUUAUAUAUAAUUUUUUAUUUCAGUAUAUUUUUAUACGUUUAUGUAAUGUGUUACUUUGUUUGUAUUUACAUUAUUUAUACACUUUGUGAUUGUGCAGAUUAAAUUUCCGACCCGCGAAGUUCGCGGGUGAUAACCUAGUUGUUUAAUAAAUGCAAUUUACAAAUGACGAAAAUACCCUUAUAUCAAUUAUUUUGAAAGGAAGUUAUAGUAUUAUAAUUACAAUCUUGGCAUCGUUUAAAAAUCUCUAGAUAAUGUAAUCCAAUGGCCUAGAUUAGUUCACACAGUUCACUCUUAAACUAGUGGCCACUAUAGAACCCUACCCUACGUGUGUGUAUAUAUAUAUAUAGGAGAAGGAUCUAUUAGGAACCACUCUUUAUUGCGAGAAUCGCGAGAACCAAGUGUGAACACAACCAAAAAAUACCUAAAAAAAUAAAAAUAAAAAAACACUAAAAAAUUUUUACUACUUUUUAUAAAAAAAAUCGUUAUGUUUCGUC
rnacentral:lncRNA from 1 species